GAUGAACGCUGGCGGCGUGCCUAAUACAUGCAAGUCGAGCGAACGGACGAGAAGCUUGCUUCUCUGAUGUUAGCGGCGGACGGGUGAGUAACACGUGGAUAACCUACCUAUAAGACUGGGAUAACUUCGGGAAACCGGAGCUAAUACCGGAUAAUAUUUUGAACCGCAUGGUUCAAAAGUGAAAGACGGUCUUGCUGUCACUUAUAGAUGGAUCCGCGCUGCAUUAGCUAGUUGGUAAGGUAACGGCUUACCAAGGCAACGAUGCAUAGCCGACCUGAGAGGGUGAUCGGCCACACUGGAACUGAGACACGGUCCAGACUCCUACGGGAGGCAGCAGUAGGGAAUCUUCCGCAAUGGGCGAAAGCCUGACGGAGCAACGCCGCGUGAGUGAUGAAGGUCUUCGGAUCGUAAAACUCUGUUAUUAGGGAAGAACAUAUGUGUAAGUAACUGUGCACAUCUUUACGGUACCUAAUCAGAAAGCCACGGCGAACUACGU
rnacentral:rRNA from 1 species